rnacentral:rRNA from 1 species
GAUGAACGCUGGCGGCGUGCUUAACACAUGCAAGUCGAGCGAGUGAGUUCUUCGGAACGAUCUAGCGGCGGACGGGUGAGUAACACGUGGGCAACCUGCCUCAUAGAGGGGAAUAGCCUCCCGAAAGGGAGAUUAAUACCGCAUAAAAUUAUCGAGUGGCAUCACAUGAUAAUCAAAGGAGUAAUCCGCUAUGAGAUGGGCCCGCGGCGCAUUAGCUAGUUGGUGAGGUAACGGCUCACCAAGGCGACGAUGCGUAGCCGACCUGAGAGGGUGAUCGGCCACAUUGGGACUGAGACACGGCCCAGACUCCUACGGGAGGCAGCAGUGGGGAAUAUUGCACAAUGGGGGAAACCCUGAUGCAGCAACGCCGCGUGAGUGAUGAAGGUCUUCGGAUUGUAAAGCUCUGUCUUUGGGGACGAUAAUGACGGUACCCAAGGAGGAAGCCACGGCUAACUACGUGCCAGCAGCCGCCGUAAAAC